rnacentral:lncRNA from 1 species
AAAAGAAAGGUAGCGGCGACAGCGGUGAGAGGUAGUGAUAGUGCGAGAAGCAACGACAAUGCGAGAGACAGCGAGGAUAGCACAAUGCGAGAGACAGCGAGGAUAGCACAAUGCGAGAGGAGGCAGCGACGACAUCUAAAAUGCUAACACUAAGUUCUUUAGAUUCAAGCUGUAUCUAAAAUGCUUUGAUAUCUAUAAUAUAUUUUGAUACACUGCUUGGAAAUGUUUGAGUGAUACAUGCUCUAUUAUAUCUCUAUCAUGCAACUCUAAUACUGAAAUAUGAUAUGCAUAUUGAUAGGGGAGCUUAGCAUUAUGUUAGAAGACCUGCUCACAUGUUAAAAUGGGGAGAAAUUAAAAUCAU